AUGUGAAUAUGAUGUUUGUGAUGUUGCAUGCAUGUUGUUCGGAUCGCAAAUUCAAUUAAAAUUUCCGAUCCGAACAACAUGCAUGCAACAUCACAAACAUCAUAU
rnacentral:miRNA from 1 species